GAUGAAGAACGCAGCGAAAUGCGAUACUUGGUGUGAAUUGCAGAAUCCCGUGAACCAUCGAGUCUUUGAACGCAAGUUGCGCCCGAAGCCAUCAGGUUGAGGGCACGUCUGCCUGGCGUCACAUAUCGUUGCCCAAUGCCUAUUGCAGUGCAAUAGGAAUUUCUAGGGCGAAUGAUGGCUUCCCGUGAGCGUUGUUGCCUCGCGGUUGGUUGAAAAUCGAGUCCUUGGUAGGGUGUGCCAUGGUAGAUGGUGGUCGAGUUAGAACGAUACCGAUCAUGUGCAUGCUCCCCAAAAUAUGGCCUCUAUGACCCACACGCGUCUUUUGACGCUCAUGACGAGACCUCAGGUCAGGCGGGGCUACCCGCUGAAUUUAAGCAUAUCAAUAAGCGGAGGA
rnacentral:misc_RNA from 1 species